CUCGUCAUUAGUGGGCGGGUCUCUAGUAUAAGCGUCCUCUAGUACCAAGAAAAAGGUACCAUGGUAACUAGCUAAACUUUCCCUAACUUCCGGGAAUUGACAUACCAGAACCACGCCCCUCCAGGAAAUAACGUUUACGAAGUAGAAAAAGCAGCAUGUCCGGAGAUCCUAAAGGGUCGCUGGACUCAAAGAAAAGAAGAAGGCGAAAACCUGAUGUGAAGGUGACUGUCACUGAAGUGCAAGUGAACCCCACGCCUCCUAGGAACUUGGACUCUCGUACAUUUAUUACAAUUGGUGAGAAGGUAAGUUGCUCGGUCUCCGUGCCGUCUAGUUCUGAUUCUCUCUAAUUUUGUGUUUCCUCCACUUAAUCAGCACAAUACCGAGCGAAUUAGCUGCUGAUGACACCCAUAUCUCUUGCUUCUUCUUGUUAUCUAAACAUACACGUCCUCACUCUCAAUGAGUU